UACGUAGGGACCAAGCGUUGUUCGGAUUUACUGGGCGUAAAGGGCGCGUAGGCGGUCAGCACAAGUCAGUUGUGAAAUCUCCGGGCUUAACUCGGAAAGGUCAACUGAUACUGUGCGACUAGAGUGCAGAAGGGGCAACUGGAAUUCUCGGUGUAGCGGUGAAAUGCGUAGAUAUCGAGAGGAACACCUGCGGCGAAGGCGGGUUGCUGGGCUGACACUGACGCUGAGGCGCGAAAGCUAGGGGAGCGAACGGG
rnacentral:rRNA from 1 species